rnacentral:tRNA from 1 species
GUUUGUAUAAUUUAAAAAAAAUACUAGAUUGUGAUUCUAUAAACAAGAGUUAAAGCCUCUUUACAAACC